rnacentral:rRNA from 1 species
AAUCAACGCUGGCGGCGCGCCUAACACAUGCAAGUCGAACGAGAAAGUGGAGCAAUCCAUGAGUAAAGUGGCGUACGGGUGAGUAACACGUGGGUGAUCUACCUCUUAGUGAGGAAUAACCCUGGGAAACCGGGGCUAAUACCGCAUAAGCCUUAGCAGGGAAAGUCGAAAGACGCUGAGAGAGGAGCCCGCGGCCGAUUAGCUAGUUGGUGGGGUAAAGGCCCACCAAGGCAGAGAUCGGUAGCCGGCCUGAGAGGGCACACGGCCACACUGGCACUGAAACACGGGCCAGACUCCUACGGGAGGCAGCAGUGGGGAAUCCUGCACAAUGGGGGAAACCCUGAUGCAGCGACGCCGCGUGAGCGAUGAAGCCCUUCGGGGUGUAAAGCUCUUUCGUCAGGGAAGAUAGUGACGGUACCUGGAGAAGCAGCUGCGGCUAACUACGUGCCAGCAGCCGCGGUAAUACGUAGGCAGCAAGCGUUGUUCGGAGUUACUGGGCGUAAAGGGUGUGUAGGCGGUUCUUUAAGUUUGGUGUGAAAUCUCCCGGCUCAACCGGGAGGGUGCGCCGAAUACUGAGGGACUAGAGUGUGGGAGAGGAAAGUGGAAUUCCUGGUGUAGCGGUGAAAUGCGUAGAUAUCAGGAGGAACACCGGUGGUGUAGACGGCUUUCUGGACCAUAACUGACGCUGAGACACGAAAGCGUGGGUAGCAAACAGGAUUAGAUACCCUGGUAGUCCACGCCCUAAACGAUGCAUAUUUGGUGUGGGUCACUCAGUUGAUCCGUGCCGGAGCUAACGCGUUAAAUAUGCCGCCUGGGGAGUACAGUCGCAAGGCUGAAACUCAAAGGAAUUGACGGGGGCCCGCACAGGCGGUGGAGCAUGUGGUUUCAAUUCGACGCAACG